CCUGACGGAGCGACACCGCGUGAAUGAUGACGACGCUCUAGAUCGUAAACUUCUUUUCUGAGUGAAUAAUUCUGAAGUUCACUCAGGAAUAAGUGACGGCUAACUCCGUGCCAGCAGCCGCGGUAAUACGUAGAGUGCAAGCGUUAUCCGGAAUUACUGGGCGUAAAGCGUCCGCAGCCUGAAAUAAUAAGUCUAAUGUUAAAUCACAGGGCCCAACUCUGUGUCUGUAUUGGAUACUGUUUUUCUAGAGUAGUGCAGAGGUACGUGGAAUUUUUAGU
rnacentral:rRNA from 1 species